GUCACAGCCCGUCCCAAAGUUUUACACUCGUGAUGGUGAAUUAACGGAAAUGUCCCUAGUACGUGACUAAGGUAUAAUUUUCACGUUCGUUAUAUCUAAGCUCCUAAACUUUGGUAAUUAGAGUGGAGAUUUAGACUUAAAUUUUAUGAUAGAAUUUUGUAGUUGGGGAUUGGGUAGGAUCCCACACACCUCAAAUCCUUCCCUCUUUCCCGUACCCUGUCUCUCUCUCUCCUCCCUCACGAACUCUCACUCUCUGUUCUCUCCCUCUCAAGUGCACGGACAAACUCCAAAACCACCCUAAACUUCUACCAACGACGGAGUUAAGACCACCAUCAAACUCCUGGAACCUCCACGAUCACGAUGGUAUCCAUUUCAGGUAAGUUUUGCUUCGGAAAACCCUAGUUUCAAAGUUCCCGUGAAAUGGUACUGUUCAUGAUCUUCUAAAUGACUACGUUUUAGGCUAAAACAAGAUCACAGCGAGCUUAGUGAGGUCCCAAGGAAGCUCGGAGUGCUUCGUUGGAAGUUUUUGGACGUAAGAACACGGAGAUCGACAAGUUCAAAGUUUGGCCGGAGCUUUCGAGGCAUUUUCCGGCGAAUCCCCGGAGAGUUAGGAGUUGAGGUAGGUAUCAAUCUCUUCGUCUCGUCAUGUACUACAACUUUCCUUUUUGUUUCACUCAAUUUCGUUGAGUAUUGAAGAAGUUAUACUCAUUUGAAAAAUACCCAGUUUCCGGCGACCUCCGAGGCUUUCGAGGCAGUUUCCGGACAAACCACGGCGAAAUAGGUGUUUUUCAAGGUAUCAUUCUCUUUUUCUCUUCAAGGGCUACAACUUUCGUUUUUGAAUCACUUGAUUUCGUUGAGAAAUGACAAAGUUAUGGCAAUUUGAAAAACUGCCCAGAAAACGGCCGCCGGAAAAACCAGUCCGGCGACCCAAGGAAGAAGAUGAUGCGCGUGGGGGCGCGUGGGCCGUGCUUGUCUUGGCGCGUGGGGGCGCGUGCUACAGUAAAAAAUUAUUUUAAAAAUAUGUCGACGUCCGUGACGUCGAGUAGAUCACUGUGGUAUAUUCAUAUACCCAAAUUGAACACCAUAUGAGAAAGUUAUUGAGGAUUGUUGGUUAGGUGUUCAAAUAACGUUUUAUAAUUUUCGCAUUAGGUGAAAAUGUGAAUUGAUGAUCCGACCGUUGGAUCGUCACCAAACUUUGAUACGUUGUAAUACGUAAUAUUUGAGGAUUAUAGGAACUUACGGAUUGGGAAUCCGAUUUACGGAUCUUCCGGAAUUGGAGUUGUAAGUCCAUAAUAUAAAAUGUUAACCGUCACUUAGUUUUGGAAAUUGACGGAGAUCCGACCGUUGGAUGGUGAUG
rnacentral:lncRNA from 1 species